ACUGUGCUGGGCGCAGCUGAUCAUCCAUGCCGCGUGAGUGAUGAAGGCCUUCGGGUUGUAAAGCUCUUUUGUCCGGAAAGAAAAGGAUCCGGUCUAUACAGGGAUGUCCUGACGGCUCCGGAACAAUAAGCACCGGUCUAACUUCGUGCCAGCAGCCGCGGUAAUA
rnacentral:rRNA from 1 species